rnacentral:rRNA from 1 species
CCUACGGGCGGCAGCAGUAGGGAAUCUUUCACAAUGGGCGAAAGCCUGAUGGAGCAACGCCGCGUGCAGGAUGAAGGCCUUCGGGUUGUAAACUGCUUUUAUAAGCGAGAAAUAUGAUGGUAACUUAUGAAUAAGGAUCGGCUAACUACGUGCCAGCAGCCGCGGUCAUACGUAGGAUCCGAGCAUUAUCCGGAGUGACUGGGUGUAAAGAGUUGCGUAGGUGGCAUAAUAAGGAGCUAGUGAAAACGGGUGGCUCAACCAUUCAGACUAUUAGCUAAACUGUUAAGCUCGAGACCGUUAGGGGUAACUGGAAUUUCUAGUGUAGCAGUGAAAUCCGUAGAUAUUAGAAGGAACACCAAUAGCGUAGGCAGGUUACUGGGACGGUUCUGACACUAAGGCACGAAAGCGUAGGGAGCAAACGGGAUUAGAUACCCCGGUAGUC